GCCUGGAUAGCUCAGUUGGUUAGAGCAUGGUGCUGGUAAUGCCAAGGUUACAGGUUCGAUGGGACAAUUGCAUAUUCCUGAACUGCAGGAG